AACAAACGCUGGCGGCGUGCCUAAUACAUGCAAGUCGAACGGGGAAAGCUUUCGGGUGAGUACUAGUGGCGCACGGGUGAGGAACGCGUGGAUAAUCUGCCUUAGAGUGGGGGAUAACUAGUCGAAAGAUUAGCUAAUACCGCAUAAGACCACGAGAGCUGCGGCUUUUUAGGUCAAAGGUUUUUCGCUCUAAGAUGAGUCCGCGUAAGAUUAGCUAGUUGGUGAGUUAACGGCUCACCAAGGCGACGAUCUUUAACUGGUCUGAGAGGAUGAUCAGUCACACUGGAACUGAGACACGGUACAGACUACUACGGGAGGCAGCAGGAGGGAAUAUUGCACAAUGGAGGAAACUCUGAUGCAGCGACGCCGCGUGAGUAAUGAAGGCCUUCGGGUCGUAAAGCUCUGUCGCAGGGGAAUGACACAAUGAAGGUACCCUGUAAGAAAGGAUCGGCUAACUUCGUG
rnacentral:rRNA from 1 species